rnacentral:rRNA from 1 species
GUGGUCAAGUUGUCAAGGGCGAACGGUGGAUGCCUUGGCACCAGGAGCCGAUGAAGGACGUGGGAGGCCGCGAUAGGCCUGGGGGAGCUGUCAACCAAGCUGUGAUCCCAGGGUGUCCGAAUGGGGAAACCUGGCUGGAGUCAUGUCCAGUCACCCACACCUGAAACCACAUAGGGUGUGUGGGGGGGAACGCGGGGAAGUGAAACAUCUCAGUACCCGUAGGAAGAGGAAAACAAAUAGUGAUUCCGUGAGUAGUGGCGAGCGAAAGCGGAUUGAGGCUAAACCGGCUGCGUGUGAUACCUGUCAGGGGUUGCGUGGUUGGGGUUGUGGGACCCUGCUGAACAAGCUGACACUUGUUCGAGAAGUUACAAAGCCAGUUGCUAGCCGAACAGUCUGGAAAGGCUGACCGUAGGCGGUGAGAGUCCGGUAGGUGAAAGUGGCUGGUCUUCUGUGGGUGUUCCCGAGUAGCGGCGGACCCCUGUAAUCUGCCGUGAAUCUGCCAGGACCACCUGGUAAGCCUAAAUACUUCCUGGUGACCGAUAGCGGACGAGUACCGUGAGGGAAUGGUGAAAAGUACCCGGGAGGGGAGUGAAAUAGUACCUGAAACCGUUCGCCUACAAUCCGUCGGAGCCUUGCGGGGUGACGGCGUGCCUUUUGAAGAAUGAGCCUGCGAGUUAGUGGCAUGUGGCGAGGUUAACCCGUGUGGGGGAGCCGUAGCGAAAGCGAGUCUGAAUAGGGCGUUCAGUCGCGUGUCCUAGACCCGAAGCGGAGUGAUCUAGCCAUGGGCAGGCUGAAGCGCGGGUAAGACCGCGUGGAGGGCCGAACCCACCAACGUUGAAAAGUUGGGG